rnacentral:rRNA from 1 species
CCUACGGGGGGCAGCAGUGAGGAAUAUUGGUCAAUGGGAGAGAUCCUGAACCAGCCAAGCCGCGUGAGGGAAGACGGCCCUAUGGGUUGUAAACCUCUUUUGUCGGAGAACAAAACCCGGGACGUGUCCCGGACUGCGUGUAUCCGAAGAAAAAGCAUCGGCUAACUCCGUGCCAGCAGCCGCGGUAAUACGGAGGAUGCGAGCGUUAUCCGGAUUUAUUGGGUUUAAAGGGUGCGCAGGCGGAUUUUUAAGUCAGCGGUCAAAUCGUGGGGCUCAACUCCAUCCAGCCGUUGAAACUGGGGAUCUAGAGUGUGCGAGAGGUAUGCGGAAUGCGUGGUGUAGCGGUGAAAUGCAUAGAUAUCACGCAGAACCCCGAUUGCGAAGGCAGCUUACUAAACUGUGACUGACAUUGAUGCUCGAAAGUGUGGGUAUCAAACAGGAUUAGAUACCCUUGUAGUC